AGGACGAACGCUGGCGGCGUGCUUAACACAUGCAAGUCGAGCGGUAAGGCCUUUCGGGGUACACGAGCGGCGAACGGGUGAGUAACACGUGGGUGAUCUGCCCUGCACUUCGGGAUAAGCCUGGGAAACUGGGUCUAAUACCGGAUAUGACCUCCUAUCGCAUGGUGGGUGGUGGAAAGAUUUAUCGGUGCAGGAUGGGCCCGCGGCCUAUCAGCUUGUUGGUGGGGUAAUGGCCUACCAAGGCGACGACGGGUAGCCGACCUGAGAGGGUGACCGGCCACGACUGGGACUGAGACACGGCCCAGACUCCUACGGGAGGCAGCAGUGGGGAAUAUUGCACAAUGGGCGAAAGCCUGAUGCAGCGACGCCGCGUGAGGAUGACGGCCUUCGGGUUGUAAACCUCUUUCAGCAGGACGAAGCGCAAGUGACGUACCUGCAGAAGAAGCACCGGCUAACUACGUGCCAGCACGCCGAC
rnacentral:rRNA from 1 species